rnacentral:rRNA from 1 species
AUUGAACGCUGGCGGCAUGCCUUACACAUGCAAGUCGAACGGCAGCACGGAGCUUGCUCUGGUGGCGAGUGGCGAACGGGUGAGUAAUAUAUCGGAACGUACCCUAGAGUGGGGGAUAACGUAGCGAAAGUUACGCUAAUACCGCAUACGAUCUAAGGAUGAAAGUGGGGGAUCGCAAGACCUCAUGCUCGUGGAGCGGCCGAUAUCUGAUUAGCUAGUUGGUAGGGUAAAAGCCUACCAAGGCAUCGAUCAGUAGCUGGUCUGAGAGGACGACCAGCCACACUGGAACUGAGACACGGUCCAGACUCCUACGGGAGGCAGCAGUGGGGAAUUUUGGACAAUGGGCGAAAGCCUGAUCCAGCAAUGCCGCGUGAGUGAAGAAGGCCUUCGGGUUGUAAAGCUCUUUUGUCAGGGAAGAAACGGUGGGAGCUAAUAUCUCUUGCUAAUGACGGUACCUGAAGAAUAAGCACCGGCUAACUACGUGCCAGCAGCCGCGGUAAUACGUAGGGUGCAAGCGUUAAUCGGAAUUACUGGGCGUAAAGCGUGCGCAGGCGGUUUUGUAAGUCUGAUGUGAAAUCCCCGGGCUCAACCUGGGAAUUGCAUUGGAGACUGCAAGGCUAGAAUCUGGCAGAGGGGGGUAGAAUUCCACGUGUAGCAGUGAAAUGCGUAGAUAUGUGGAGGAACACCGAUGGCGAAGGCAGCCCCCUGGGUCAAGAUUGACGCUCAUGCACGAAAGCGUGGGGAGCAAACAGGAUUAGAUACCCUGGUAGUCCACGCCCUAAACGAUGUCUACUAGUUGUCGGGUCUUAAUUGACUUGGUAACGCAGCUAACGCGUGAAGUAGACCGCCUGGGGAGUACGGUCGCAAGAUUAAAACUCAAAGGAAUUGACGGGGACCCGCACAAGCGGUGGAUGAUGUGGAUUAAUUCGAUGCAACGCGAAAAACCUUACCUACCCUUGACAUGGCUGGAAUCCUUGAGAGAUCAGGGAGUGCUCGAAAGGGAACCAGUACACAGGUGCUGCAUGGCUGUCGUCAGCUCGUGUCGUGAGAUGUUGGGUUAAGUCCCGCAACGAGCGCAACCCUUGUCAUUAGUUGCUACGAAAGGGCACUCUAAUGAGACUGCCGGUGACAAACCGGAGGAAGGUGGGGAUGACGUCAAGUCCUCAUGGCCCUUAUGGGUAGGGCUUCACACGUCAUACAAUGGUACAUACAGAGCGCCGCCAACCCGCGAGGGGGAGCUAAUCGCAGAAAGUGUAUCGUAGUCCGGAUUGUAGUCUGCAACUCGACUGCAUGAAGUUGGAAUCGCUAGUAAUCGCGGAUCAGCAUGUCGCGGUGAAUACGUUCCCGGGUCU